GGAUCCCAUCAUCCCUGUGAUAUUAGUUUUGAAGAUUGUAAGGAAUUUGUGCUGGAAGGACUGAAAAUGAAGGAAGAGCGGGUCGAGGUGGAGGAGCGAAAUUUGUUUUAAUCUUCUUGAUUGGUGCAGAAAAGCGCCAUUCCGGACUCGGAUUUCAUUUCAGAUCUGAUCGCUCGGGGAAUAAAGGUAAUGUUUCCGGGGGAUGUUUGAUUGAGCAUCGCGAAACCAUUUCCUCGGCGCAAGUGUUCAGCAGUGGAAACGGAACAUCAACUGAUGACAAAGGGAACAUCAGGCGAAUUGACUUCUUUCAUCGUUUAUAUGUUUGAUGUUUUUACUUAACAAAUCUCUAGCUGGUUUAUUUGUACUAUUUUUUUAAGUAGGACGGAAUGAAAGUCUCGUGGCUGCGAACGUUCUGGCUUCAAUGGAGAGUAAACGUGCCAGUCCGGAGAAACGUCCGGUUCAACUCGUUCCAGGACAGAAUAUGGGGGCCGCUUACAAUGAAUGAGAUGCUGGCGCUUGAUCCCAAAAAAUUACCCCUGAUGAAGCAGCUGACUUUAAGGAUAUCGUAAGGUGACGUUUACGUUUGAGGAUGAAAAGGGGAGGUUUCAAACAUUGAUUGCCGGGAAUAAAACCUGAGCGGUAUAAGAAUAUAUUGUGAGCCAUGCGAUUUUUGUAUUAAUUUAUUUUCACGAAAUUUUCUGCGUGAAAUUCCACUGCCAUAACGUAUUUUUUUGCGUUUUCGAGAUCGUUUUCGUGAUUUGUUAACCUUGCUGAUUGUUACUGGUAGUCAACCUGGUUGAUGUUUUCUACAAAAGCUUCUAGCAGUAGGUCUUAUUGUAUAGAAGUACAGAUAUUAUGCCAGUUAUUAUGCCAUAUACUGCCAG